AUUGACGGCAUUUUUAUUAGCAAGCCUAAAGGAACAGCUGGAAAAGAUCUAAUGGCUCCACAGUGCACAAAGAUCAAGCAUCUUCAAGCAGAAAUAUCGCACUUGCGAAAAAAAGGACAAUCUUUCAAAGCAAGGUUAAAAGGUGGUGCAGAUCGAUCAAUCGAAUUUUGUCCGGAAAAUUAACAUAUUAUGUGGGUGAAGACGAAACAAAAACAGCCGCCCAACAAUAUUAUGAUAAACAUAAACAUUAUAAAAAUAAAAAGUAAUAUGCAAA